rnacentral:lncRNA from 1 species
UUCGGGGGAGUAACGGUGGAAUUCACACUGAUUUUUCUCUGUGUUUAGGGAGUUCCAAAGUUACUGAAGGAGUGCUGCUGUGAGUCACCUUCCCGCCAGCCAGGUUUCUAAACUGAGCACCCAUGGCUGGAGGCAGAGUUCCAAGAGAAGCCAGCUCCCCAAAGCUCCCAUCAAGACUCAAAGUGAGAAUAACUCUCCCAGUUUGCCGGGGCUCGGGCAGGCACCGCACAGGGAAACAAGGUCCUAUUCAGCCAGACGCCGCUGGAGUGACUGCUGCGUGGCCAAGGGUAGAUGGGAAACAGCAUACGCUCUUCAUCUGUGAAAACGGGGCAUUUCCUAUGGGAAGUUUAACUGCAAUGAGAAAGAACACAGCUUCUAAAAACUGUGGCACCUGACAUCUCGG